CCCUUAGAUGUUCUGGGCCGCACGCGCGCUACACUGAUUCAUGCAACAAGUUUUGUCCUUGGCUGAUAGGCCUGGGUAAUCUUUGAACGUGAAUCGUGAUGGGGAUAGAUGAUUGCAAUUAUUCAUCUUCAACGAGGAAUUCCUAGUAAACGCAAGUCAUCAGCUUGCAUUGAUUACGUCCCUGCCCUUUGUACACACCGCCCGUCGCACCUACCGAUUGAAUGGCCCGGUGAAAUCUUCGGAUCUGAGAGAUGUCUGAUUAAUUUCGGACGCCUUUUGGAAAAGUUGCUUAAACCUUACCAUUUAGAGGAAGGUGAAGUCGUAACA
rnacentral:rRNA from 1 species